AUUGAACGCUGGCGGCAGGCCUAACACAUGCAAGUCGAACGAGUGGCGGACGGGUGAGUAAUGUUUGGGAAACUGCCUGAUGGAGGGGGAUAACUACGGGAAACGGUAGCUAAUACCGCCAACCCUCGGAUGAGCCCAGAUGGGAUUAGCUAGUGGGUGGGGUAACGGCUCACCAAGGCGACGAUCCCUAGCUGGUCUGAGAGGAUGACCGGCCACACUGGAACUGCGACACGGUCCGGAUUCCUACGGGAGGCAGCAGUGGGGAAUAUUGCACAAUGGGCGCAAGCCUGACGCAGCCAUGCCGCGUGUAUGAAUAAGGCCUUCGGGUUGUAAAGUACUUUCGGUGGGGAGGCGUUACCCACAGAAGAAGCACCGGCUAACUCCGUGCCAGCAGCCGCGGUAAUUC
rnacentral:rRNA from 1 species